UCAUACAGUCCAGGAAUCAAAAUACCUGUGAUAAGAACACUGUUCGAUAUAUCUGAGAUUCAGCCAUAUUCCAUAAAUAGGAAUUCUAUUAUUUAUAUCCAACAAAGAACUUCAAAAGAGAGUAGUAAUGGAUCAGUAAUAAAUCAAAGUCAAAGACCUCUGAGCAAUCACAGCUACAGUGAAACAAAUCAUAAGAGGAAACGUAGGUGUGAAUCAUGUCAAUGGGAGCUGACGACAUUAGAAGAUUCAUCUCAUAACUACAAGUUUUGCUCGGUGGAAUGCAAAGUUAAAGGAUCAAAGCGUUCAAGACAAAUAGAAGAUGAUAUUGAGGUCUUUGGUUCCAUCAAUGGGUGUGACGAGCAGUGUUGUUAUGCUGGUAGAAAAAGAAGAAAAAGUAUUCCCAGAAGGUCUCCUUUAUCUUAGAUUUUAAGCAAGAAAGUAAUUGUGAAGGAGCUUCCCUGGUAAUGUCAGUCAAUGGUUAACUUCACAAGUGUAAGAUCAACAGAUCUAGUUGAAAUUAUUUAGAUUAGACUUUCUCAGAUGCCUAUGUAAACACUUCAGCACAUGUAAGAUGUUUUUGCCGGU